rnacentral:SRP_RNA from 1 species
GGCCCGACCCCUGCGAGCCCUGUGCUGUGAACCCCGCCAGGACCGGAAGGUAGCAACGGUAACAGAAGCAGGCUUUUGGCAGGUCAGUUGGGCCCUC